AGUCGUCCGUCGGGGAGCUCGGGCAGCCGGGCUGAGAGGGUGGCCACCGCGUCACCGACCCGUCGAACCUGCUCUGGGUAAUGCCAGCGGAGGGAGAACCGGCGGCUCGCCGGA
rnacentral:ncRNA from 2 species